rnacentral:rRNA from 1 species
AUUGAACGCUGGCGGCAGGCCUAACACAUGCAAGUCGAGCGGAUGAAGGGAGCUUGCUCCUGGAUUCAGCGGCGGACGGGUGAGUAAUGCCUAGGAAUCUGCCUGGUAGUGGGGGAUAACGUCCGGAAACGGGCGCUAAUACCGCAUACGUCCUGAGGGAGAAAGUGGGGGAUCUUCGGACCUCACGCUAUCAGAUGAGCCUAGGUCGGAUUAGCUAGUUGGUGGGGUAGAGGCCUACCAAGGCGACGAUCCGUAACUGGUCUGAGAGGAUGAUCAGUCACACUGGAACUGGGACACGGUCCAGACUCCUACGGGAGGCAGCAGUGGGGAAUAUUGGACAAUGGGCGAAAGCCUGAUCCAGCCAUGCCGCGUGUGUGAAGAAGGUCUUCGGAUUGUAAAGCACUUUAAGUUGGGAGGAAGGGCAGUAAGUUAAUACCUUGCUGUUUUGACGUUACCAACAGAAUAAGCACCGGCUAACUUCGUG